GGGAGGAUGUGGGAGAAGAGCGAGUAUGUAGGAUGCUGGUUUGUCUGUGUAUGUGUGUGGUAGCAAUAUGUUGAAUUCUAGAAUUCUAACAAGAUGGGACAACUCUGGGGAACAAUAGCACAAUGCCAGGAAGAUGGUGGAUUUGGGAUCCUUGCUGUCCAGCAGAGACUCUACCACAGAGUGUUUGGUGUUUCACCGAAGGCAGCAGAUUGCAUCCUCCACAAUUUCCUACGCUGGGAGGAGGCUGAUGAUGAAGAGGAAGGAAGGUGUGGACCCCUGCCAUCGGCUUGCAGCCCUUCCAACAAGUAGGCAGCAACAACACCUCUAGGUAAGCACUGGAAGUUAGACAGAGGUACACCACCUACUUCUCAUCUCCUGUAUGCGUAGUUGUAUGGCAGCAUCCUGUCAUCUAAUGCCUCUCCAAGUCCCUCCACCAUCAACCACCUAUUUUUUCUUCACUAACAUCAAUGCAAUGCAACCCAUAAAACAGUAAUCUAAAUCAACAGUUUUAAUUAUAUAAUUUAAUUAUCAAGCACAGAUCCAUAGAUAACAAAACAAAGUCUGAGUUGUGUUGUAUUGGGUCUGGGUCAGGGAUAGAUGGGUUUCAUCCAAUUGUGAACAUAUCUUGACAUCACCCAUUGGUUUGUGGAGCACUGUUUUGCAGCUGAAAAUCCAAAAACUAUAUAUUAUAAGCCAGACAGCUACACACUAGAUGCUAGCCAGCUAACCGUUAAGCAGUGGCCAUUGUUAGUUACAAGUUGGAAAGUUUGAGUAAGAACAGUAAACCACAGACUUUAUUUCAGGCAUCCAAAAACCCACUGACUUUGAGAACAUGCUAAAAAUGCUAAGGUUAGGGAUCAUUCCAUCAGAACUCUAUUUAACAGAUUUAUAGUUAUUAGCUAACGGACUAGCAGCAUGUUGUGUGGCUUUGCUUAUGAAUGGUCUAACAUUACAGAAUAUUAGCAUAAAAUUAACAUUUCCAAGUUCUGUUUUGGCUUGAGUCACUGAUGAUCUAAUGGUGAUUUCCCAAUUAAAACGCAGUAGCUCAAAACAGUUUUGGAGGGAGGUUUUUUUUUCUUCUUCUUCUACACAAAUAUGAUCAGUGAUGUAUACUAAUUAUUACAAACUCCUAUUCAACCUAUGAAAAAUCAUAACCAUAAAGUUACUUCAUACUUUUCGUGGAAUAGUUAAUUAGCCUCAUUAGCUUUGUCAUACUUUACAAGUUAUGAGCUAAUCAGUCAUCAGCUAUUAGCAGUUAUAUUUCUUGUAACUGCCCACAAUUUUUGUAAAGUUACAAGUGGAGUGCAGUCAAUAAAGAGUCAAACAACCUACCAGUCUCUCUCUUUGUAUCUUUAGCUUAACUGUUGGAGAGCCAGUACAAACCCCUCAUGUCCACUGUAUGGAGCGACUUCAAGCAGUCCGUUAUUUAUGCACACUACCUUAUUAGGGGCCGAGCCAGC
rnacentral:lncRNA from 15 species